UACGUAGGGGGCGAGCGUUGUCCGGAUUUAUUGGGCGUAAAGAGCUCGUAGGCGGUUUGGCAAGUCGGGUGUGAAAACUCCGGGCUCAACUCGGAGACGCCACUCGAUACUGCUAUGACUCGAGUCCGGUAGGGGAGUGCGGAAUUCCUGGUGUAGCGGUGAAAUGCGUAGAGAUCCGGAAGAACACCGGUGGCGAAGGCGGCCUGCUGGGCAGUAGCUGACGCUGAUGCGCGACAGCGUGGGGAGCAAACAGG
rnacentral:rRNA from 1 species